CCUAUGAUUUGAAUGGUCUUAGUUACCAUAUAAGAAUAAUGGUCUCGGUACCAUAGUAGAAUGGACUUAAAAUCAUUGCGCAAUGGUUUUAGUACCAUAAUUGAGGGUGUAAUUCUUGCCCGAUAUUUACAGUGCAGUAUUUAUCGGUAUCAGUAGAGAACUGGGCUGUUUUAUCCUGGAGACUUCGUGGUUGAUCGUCUGCCUUGCACAAUUUUGGGUAGUGCCGCGAAACGUCUUAAAGAAAGCGUAUUCACCCGCGACUCAAUCCAGUAAUCUCUUCGGUGACUGAAAAUUAUUUUUUAAUGAUUU
rnacentral:lncRNA from 1 species